GACUGUAAGGACUCCACUGAGUGACAGAUACGCCAAACCCCUUCCUCACCAGACAGGCGAUGGGCUGGCACUGAGCGCUGCUAUUGGCUAGACUGUCAACUUCUCCCACCCCGAAGAGGGACUGGCUGCAUUGCAGGGAGCGGCCUGAACCCUGUGACCACUUCUGGGUUCGUAUAGCCCAGUGUUUUAUUUCAGCAUGAAAUCAAAAUAUUCCUUCAAGCCUUGACAUGGGCUCCAACCUUCUUUUACCACACCAGGCCUGCUGGAGGCAUGUGAUACAGGGUGGAUGUAAUAGCAAGUGCUCAAGGUGCAGUGUUUCAUCCAGUUUUGUUUUGAUCUUAGAUCAUGUGGGAAACUAGAAGAAUCUUGAAAUGAUCAGUAGGAGAAACUGAUCCUUAAUAUGCAUUGCAGAACACCUGUUUAACUUGAAGUUUGCUGCCAAAGAGCUCAGCAGGAAUGCAAAAAAAUGUGAUAAAGAAGAAAAGAUUGAAAAGACCAAAAUUAAGAAGGCAAUCAGAAGGGUAAACUGAAGUUGCAAGAAUACAUGCAGAAAACGU